GAGACUCUGUGCGCGUGCAUUAUCAAUAAGCGGAGGAAAAGAAACUAACUAAGGAUUCCCUCAGUAACGGCGAGUGAAGCGGGAAGAGCUCAAAUUUGAAAUCUUCAAGGUUUUACCUUGACGAAUUGUAGUUUAAAGAAGUGUUUUCUGUUGGAGUUUUGGUAAAAGUUCUUUGGAAUAGGACAUCAUAGAGGGUGAGAAUCCCGUAUUUGACCAGUUACUUUCCAGCUGUGUGAUACACUUUCAAAGAGUCGGAUUGUUUGGGAAUGCAGUCCAAAAUGGGUGGUAAAUUUCAUCUAAAGCUAAAUAUUGGCGAGAGACCGAUAGCGAACAAGUACCGUGAGGGAAAGAUGAAAAGAACUUUGAAAAGAGAGUUAAACAGUACGUGAAAUUGUCAAAAGGGAAGCGUUUGACACCAGUGUUGUUUUUCCGAAAAUCAAUUAUGAAUGCUUUAUUUUGAAGUUCAUGACCUUAAUAGGCUUGUUUCUUAUUUUCAUGUAACUUUCUUAAUGCACUUUUCGGUUAACAAGUCAACAUCAAUUUCUUUUGUUGUAAAAGGGUUAUGAGGAAGGUGGCUUUACUUUCGAGUAAAGUGUUUAUAGCCUUGUAACUCUGCAAUCGGAGAGAUUGAGGUCUGCAGCGUAGAUCCUUCGGGGUUAGAUACAUUUGUGCUAAGUUAUAGCUUUUCAUAGACAACUUGUUGACUAUGUUAGUCUUGUAGCUUACUCGCUUAUGCUAUUUUACCUACGCUUAGGAUGUUGAAGUCAUCGUAUCGCGC
rnacentral:rRNA from 1 species